rnacentral:rRNA from 1 species
AUACGGAGGAUCCGAAGCGUUAUCCGGAUUUAUUGGGUUUAAAGGGUGCGCAGGCGGAAGAUUAAGUCGGCGGUGAAAUUUUGCAGCUCAACUGUAAAAAGUGCCUUCGAAACUGGUUUUCUUGAGUGUAGAUGAAGUAGGCGGAAUUUGUGGUGUAGCGGUGAAAUGCUUAGAUAUCACAAAGAACUCCGAUUGCGCAGGCAGCUUACUAAACUACAACUGACGCUCAGGCACGAAGGCGUGGGUAUC